UAUAACGUCGUCCCAGCAAAUGCUCAGCUGUUGGCUAUGAUGGCUGCUUAUUGGACUCUUCUCUUGGAGUCGAUGUCAGAGAUUUUAUAGGAAGGAUGGGCCAGAAAUUCAAGAAGUCGUGAUUCUUUGUGCCAUUUCAAUUCCACGAGUGUUUACUGGGCUCCGUCCAUGCGUAGGGUGUCCUGAAGAAUACAGUGGUGGCUCAGAUAUAACCCCCCCCUUUUGACAAGCUUAAAAAAAUAUUUUAAUCACCUAAUGAAAAAUGCAGUUUGUAGCUGCAUGACUUUAAGUACUGAGUUCUCCCUACCCAGCAGCUAUCAUAAACAGAAAGUUCAGGUUGCUUCCCUCCUUGUGUCCAGACACAAAUGGACGGAAUUAUGGUGCAGCUUCUCCUUCUGCAGCUCCUCACCUUGAUUGCACAUUCGAACCUGGGAGCUCGCAAAGCACAUCAACGCCAAGGUCGUGUUGCGGAGAAUUAAGUCAGAAUCCCUGGGGCUGAGCCGUAGGCAGCGUUAUUUGCUUUUCAGCUCCUGAUCAUAUCAAUGUGCAGCCACUAUCAGGAACCACUAGUGCGCCAGGGCUUAGAGAAAACAACAGGUGUGUUAUAUUAGAGAAACCAAUUUUACUCCAUUCUGGAACAGCCAAGUUAUUAUUUGUUUUUCAAUAGCUCGGUUUGGCGAUGGAGUGUUAUUUUUUGAAUCUUCGACAUUCAGACUGGAGGGAUGCAGAGCACACAACAAUGUUCCGUUUCAAAUACCCACUCACCAUUUAUUCUGUAAUGAUCGGCAAGGGUUUCCUUAGCGCCAGGCACUGUGCUGGACGCAACGAUGGAUGAUACAGCUUAACCUCUACGCAGGAAGUCAGAAUCUAGAACGCAGGAGAAACAAAUAUCAUGUGGUGAUGCGCUGUAAAAACGCAUGUCGGAAUGCAGUUCAGAGCAGGUGCACUGUAUAUGUGACUACUGCAUUCCUGCCUUUCACAGACCUCGAUGAUGGGAGACUCCAAGGCUGGAUAUUCCUAACAGUCUCUGCACACAAAGCUGUCUUCCAUGUCCAGCCUGUCUGCUUCCUGACACUUGUAGGUGACAGAUACAGGCACUAGUUUAAUGGCUAAGGAGCGUCGCU
rnacentral:lncRNA from 1 species